GCCUACGGGGCGCAGCAGUGGGGAAUAUUGCACAAUGGGCGCAAGCCUGAUGCAGCCAUGCCGCGUGUAUGAAGAAGGCCUUCGGGUUGUAAAGUACUUUCAGCGGGGAGGAAGGCGAUAAGGUUAAUAACCUUGUCGAUUGACGUUACCCGCAGAAGAAGCACCGGCUAACUCCGUGCCAGCAGCCGCGGUAAUACGGAGGGUGCAAGCGUUAAUCGGAAUUACUGGGCGUAAAGCGCACGCAGGCGGUCUGUCAAGUCGGAUGUGAAAUCCCCGGGCUCAACCUGGGAACUGCAUUCGAAACU
rnacentral:rRNA from 1 species